CAGCCGCCGCGGUAAUACCGGCGGCCCGAGUGGCGGCCACUAUUAUUGGGCUUAAAGCGUCCGUAGCCGGGUUGGUUAGUCUCCCGGGAAAUCUGGCCGCUUAACGGUCAGAAUUCCGGGAGAUACUGCCAGCCUAGGGACCGGGAGAGGCCGAGGGUAUUCCCGGAGUAGGGGUGAAAUCCUAUAAUCCCGGGAGGACCACCUGUGGCGAAGGCGCCCCGCUGGAACGGGUCCGACGGGGAGGGACGAAGGCCAGGGGAGCAAACCGGAUUAGAUACCCGGGUAGUCCUGGCUGUAAAGGAUGCGGGCUAGGUGUCGGGUGAGCUUCGGGCUCGCCCGGUGCCGUAGGGAAGCCGUUAAGCCCGCCGCCUGGGGAGUACGGCCGCAAGGCUGAAACUUAAAGGAAUUGGCGGG
rnacentral:rRNA from 1 species